rnacentral:rRNA from 1 species
UAGUAUGAAUGGCACCACGAGGGCUUAACUGUCUCCCCUUUAAAGUCAAUGAAAUUGAUCUCCCCGUGCAGAAGCGGGGAUAUACUCGUAAGAGCCGAGAAGACCCUUUGGAGCUUUAGACACAAGGGCAACCCAUGUCAAGCACCCCAAAAGGAGACUGAACACAAUGAACCCCUGCCAAUCUGUCUUCGGUUGGGGCGACCGACGGAGAAAAACAAAACCUCCACAGCUGGAACGGGGCCACUCGGCCCUAAAGAACAGACCCACAGGUCUAACCCACAGUACAUCUGACCACAAAGAACCGGCACAAGCCGCUCAAUGGACCAAGUUACCCUAGGGAUAACAGCGCAAUCCCCUCAAAGAGACCUUAUCGACGAGAGGGUUUACGACCUCGAUGUUGGAUCAGGACAUCUUAAUGGUGCAGCCGCGAGGCGGGCUCAGACAACGUCUAGGUUCAAAAAAGGCUUAA